UAGAGUUUGAUCAUGGCUCAGAGCGAACGCUGGCGGCAGGCCUAACACAUGCAAGUCGAACGGAUCCUUCGGGAUUAGUGGCGGACGGGUGAGUAACACGUGGGAACGUGCCCUUUGGUUCGGAACAACUCAGGGAAACUUGAGCUAAUACCGGAUGUGCCCUUCGGGGGAAAGAUUUAUCGCCAUUGGAGCGGCCCGCGUCUGAUUAGCUAGUUGGUGAGGUAAAGGCUCACCAAGGCGACGAUCAGUAGCUGGUCUGAGAGGAUGAUCAGCCACAUUGGGACUGAGACACGGCCCAAACUCCUACGGGAGGCAGCAGUGGGGAAUCUUGCGCAAUGGGCGAAAGCCUGACGCAGCCAUGCCGCGUGAAUGAUGAAGGUCUUAGGAUUGUAAAAUUCUUUCACCGGGGACGAUAAUGACGGUACCC
rnacentral:rRNA from 1 species